UGAUGGUUUGCACUCAUGGGUCUCUGCUCUGGUGCUGCCGGAGUUUGAAGAAAAGAGGCCAGGUCAGACCAGAGAUCUCUGAGCUUCCUGGCAGAGGUGGGGCUGGAACUUCAUGUCCUCCCAUGAAAUGUGGGCUGGCAUCUGGGACAAGUUCCUGACCUAGAGAUUCCACAAACAAUGAGACAUCCAGAUGAGCUACCUUCCAAACAAGUUAGAGAAUUAUGCCACAGUGUUUGCCGUGACUUCAUCCACACUUCUCCCCUAUUCCAAGGCCCCCAAAACCCAGUCCAUUACCCAGUCCUACCUCCUAGAAGUCCCUCUUGUGUCCACCUCAUCCCCCACCCACACUGCUACCACAGCCUUCCUGGACAACAGCGUGCCCUCCUCACACUUCCCACCAACUCUUUCCAGACCCAUUCUCCACCCCUACAGCCUGAGCAACCUUCUUAAAAUCCAAAUCUCAUCAUGCAAUUUCCUGAUUGAAACUCUUAAAUGUUGCUCCAUUUCUCCAUGGGAUAAGCAUCAGGUUCUUGCCUGAUUCAUGCAACCUAUGGAGCUUCAUGCCUGCUGCCAUGUCCAGCCUCAUGUCCCAUCAGCUCCCCAAACAGCUCCAGCCUCCUCUCCCCAUGAGUCACUGCCUGAGAUUCCCUGUCUACUCAAGACAGCAUUCUUUUCCUCCCCUGCUGCCAAAGAGCCCACUUUGCCAGACAAGGCUUGGCGGGAGCCCCUCUUCUGAGCUCCCAUAGCACCCUGUGCUCACCAUUUUCAUUGCAAUGCUCAUUUGUUCAGACCUCCCAGAAGAUACCGAUUAUGUCUUAUUAAUCAUUAUAGUCCCAAGGCUAAAUUGAAUGGCUUGUAAUAGAUAACUCAAGUAUAUUUAAGGAGCGUGUUUUGUCUAUCCAGAACUUCUCCUAACUUCUGCACCUGACACCUCUUGUUUUUGAGAAUUGCUCCUUCCCCUCUCCAGCCAAGGGGGCUUCAGAGGCUCCUGUUCAUGAAACCUGGUUGCAUCUCAUCUCUCAUCAAGCCAAGUCAAGCCAAGCCAAUCAUGGGGAUUUUUCAAACUGGAAUUCAAGAAAGGACUGAUUUUUCUGUGAUAAUAAAACUGAGAAGUGUGUGGAUGUCAGAUCAGGACAAGGUGGAUGGGAAGAAAAGGCCACACACAGAACAGCUGAGCUGAGAGGUGUCAAGGGGACACAGUCAUCACUUGACCCUAUAGUCCAGCCAUGUCUAAGGCCUGACACACACCAGCCCUUUCCCUGGUUAUAAAGUCUUCUCAUAAAUUCCCCUUUUCUCAAGUUAGUUUGUGUUGGUUUCUAUCCCAGAAAUUAAUUAAGAGUCCUAAUUUUAAAAAUCUUCCUUAGAUUUUGAGCUCCUUUGUGUCAGGUGUAACGUUAACAUAUCUGUGUCUCCAGUGACCACACAGUGCCUGGCAGAAGGUCAAAACCUGUAGCAAUGGGGAGGCCUGAGUCUGCCCAGCUGUCAUCUGACUCCCUGUGUUUGUGUCUAGCUAUGUCCUGGUGAGAAACAUUCCCUACUCCCUCCUAUAUCUAUUGCAUGUGGACAAGCUAUAUAACAACAGAGAUGGAGGCCAGGGACAAAGAGGUUGGCAUUCCCCCUUCAUUUUAUGUAUAAAUAUAAAACGUCUAGGGAAAGAGAUGGUUUGAUUAACAUUUUAACCAAAUCCAAGCUACUAUAAAGUGAAAGAGAAAUUCACUGUAUUCAAAUAAAAACGUGCUAAGUUCAGUUUUUGAAAAUUUUAAACUUUCCAAUGAGCUACCUUGCCAAUAAGACAUAAAGGUUCUUACGGCAUAAACUGUCUUUAUUUCAGUGUCUGCCUCACAGAAUCCAGCUCAAGGCUGGGCGUGAAGCUGGUGAUUUAGAAUGGGAAUGAGUGAGGAAGGAGUCUGCAAAUGCAAUGUCUCAAGCUAUUUUUCUCCAGAGUUAAAAAGAACUUUGUAACUACAGUGCAGAUGUUUUUCCCUCCUAGAUGGAGUUGACGUACUUAACCUUAUCUUCAAACCUGAUUCCAUGGCCUAGAGCUGUGCGAGGUGUUACCACUCUCUCUUCAGGGUGUUUCUCAGCCUCCUGACCUGUGUGUGCUGUCUCUGAUUUGUCCCAGAUCAGUCUGAAUUUCAAAGUUCAAGCUUUCACUGCUUUCCAUGAGAAAUACCAUCACUUCCAGCAUUUCAUGCUUUUUGGAGACUUUACUGAGAUUUACAGGGAAAACUCACAACACAGAGCACAUCACACCCACCCCCUCAUUGUUUCUCUUGCCCUUUCACAUUUCUGUCCCCACUUCUUUUCCAGACUAACAAAUUCCUCACCUUGAGUCAUGCAAAACAUUUCUGCUCAUGUCCAGGUCCUUUAAGGUCCCAUGUCCUCUCUACUCUUAGAAACUUAUCAAAAUAUCCCUGCCACAGAUACCCAGUGGCCUCCCCAGAAAGAAUAAUGGUGAAUGAAUAAUUCUCCAUUAUAUGAUAUGGUCACUCAAAAAUUCCAAUAGAAAUUUAGAAUUUCCCAAUAAAAUAUCCCUUAUUUUAUUGUUCUUAUUGUUUAUUUAUUGUUAUUGAGGUAUAGUUGACACAAUAUUAUAUUGCAUUCAAGUAUACCACACGAUGAUUGAACAGUGGGUAACAUCAUUAUAUCCUCACCCCAACUAGUGCAGUUACUAUCUGUCAACAUAACAGAAUCAUUAACUAUAUUCUCCGUGAUGCACUUCCAUUCCAAUUUAUAAUUAUGAUUGAGAUUUUGGUGUCCCUUUACUCCCCUCACCCUCCCGACCCUCUCCCUUUCCCCCUCCCUCAAGAUAACCACCAGUCACUUCUCAGUGUCUUUGAGUCUACUGAUACUCUGUU